rnacentral:rRNA from 1 species
CACCGCCCGUCACAUCACGAAAGCGGACUGUACUAGAAGUCGCCGCGCUAACCCGCAAGGGAGGCAGGCGCUCAAGGUAUGGUCCGUGAUUGGGGUG